rnacentral:rRNA from 1 species
ACGGGAGGCAGCAGUAGGGAAUAUUGCACAAUGGGGGGAACCCUGAUGCAGCAACGCCACGUGUGGGAAGAAGCAUUUCGGUGUGUAAACCACUGUCGUGAGGGAAUAAUGCUUGAUUUCGGUCAAGUUGAAUGUACCUCGAAAGGAAGCACCGGCAAACUUCGUGCCAGCAGCCGCGGUAAUACGAGGGGUGCAAGCGUUGUUCGGAAUCACUGGGCGUAAAGGGAGCGUAGGCGGAGACGCAAGCAGUCUGUGCAAUACCGGGGCCCAACCCCGGACCUGCAGACUGGACUGUGUCUCCUGGAUAGUUCAGGGGCAGGCGGAAUUCCUGGUGUAGCGGUGGAAUGCGUAGAGAUCAGGAAGAACACCGAUGGCGAAGGCAGUCUGCUGGGGACUCAUCGACGCUGAGGCUCGAAAGUGCGGGUAGCAAACAGGAUUAGAUACCCUGGUA